GAUGAAGAACGUAGUGAAAUGCGAUACUUGGUGUGAAUUGCUGAAUCCCGUGAACCAUCAAGUUUUUGAACGCAAGUUGCGCCCGAAGCCAUUAGGCCGAGGGCACGCCUGCCUGGGUGUCACACAUUGUUGCCCCAAUGCCAAUCGCCUCACUUUGUAGGUAUUUGCUUGGGGUGAAUGUUGGCCUCCCGUGAGCUCUGUCUCACGGUUGGUUGAAAAUCGAGUGCAUGGUGUCGGGUGUACCAUGAUGGAUGGUGGUUGAGUGAUGCUCGAGGCCAAUCAUGGGUAACUCCACCAGAAUUGUGCUCGGUGACCCACAUCAAGUCAGGCGGGGCUACCCGCUGAGUUUAAGCAUAUCAAUAAGCGGAGGA
rnacentral:misc_RNA from 1 species